rnacentral:rRNA from 1 species
GACGAACGCUGGCGGCGUGCUUAACACAUGCAAGUCGAGCGGUAAGGCCCUUUCGGGGGUACACGAGCGGCGAACGGGUGAGUAACACGUGGGUGACCUGCCCUUAGCUCUGGGAUAAGCCUGGGAAACUGGGUCUAAUACCGGAUAUGACUCCAUGACGCAUGUUGUGGGGUGGAAAGCCUUGUGCGGCUAGGGAUGGGCCCGCGGCCUAUCAGCUUGUUGGUGGGGUGAUGGCCACCAAGGCGACGACGGGUAGCCGGCCUGAGAGGGCGACCGGCCACACUGGGACUGAGACACGGCCCAGACUCCUACGGGAGGCAGCAGUGGGGAAUCUUGCGCAAUGGGCGAAAGCCUGACGCAGCGACGCCGCGUGAGGGAUGACGGCCUCGGUGUAAC